rnacentral:tRNA from 1 species
GAUUAGCUCAGCGGUAGAGCACCUGCCUUACAAGCAGAUUGUCACUGGUUCGAUCCCGGUAUC